AGGGAUCAUUACCGAGUUUACAACUCCCCAAACCCAAUGUGAACGUUACCAAACUGUUGCCUCGGCGGGAUCUCUGCCCCGGGUGCGUCGCAGCCCCGGACCAAGGCGCCCGCCGGAGGACCAACCAAAACUCUUAUUGUAUACCCCCUCGCGGGUUUUUUUUUAUAAUCUGAGCCUUCUCGGCGCCUCUCGUAGGCGUUUCGAAAAUGAAUCAAAACUUUCAACAACGGAUCUCUUGGUUCUGGCAUCGAUGAAGAACGCAGCGAAAUGCGAUAAGUAAUGUGAAUUGCAGAAUUCAGUGAAUCAUCGAAUCUUUGAACGCACAUUGCGCCCGCCAGUAUUCUGGCGGGCAUGCCUGUCCGAGCGUCAUUUCAACCCUCGAACCCCUCCGGGGGGUCGGCGUUGGGGAUCGGCCCUGCCUUGGCGGUGGCCGUCUCCGAAAUACAGUGGCGGUCUCGCCGCAGCCUCUCCUGCGCAGUAGUUUGCACACUCGCAUCGGGAGCGCGGCGCGUCCACAGCCGUUAAACACCCAACUUCUGAAAUGUUGACCUCGGAUCAGGUAGGAAUACCCGCUGAACUUA
rnacentral:rRNA from 1 species